CACGUAGGCACCAAGCGUUGUCCGGAUUUAUUGGGCGUAAAGAGCUCGUAGGCGGUUCGGUAAGUCGGGUGUGAAAACUUUGGGCUCAACCCAAAGCCUGCACUCGAUACUGCUGUGACUUGAGUCCGGUAGGGGAGUGGGGGAAUUCCUGGUGUAGCGGUGGAAUGCGCAGAUAUCAGGAGGAACACCGGUGGCGAAGGCGGUCUGCUGGGCUCGCCCUGACACUGAUGGACGAAAGCGUGGGGAGCGAACCGG
rnacentral:rRNA from 1 species